GGCUGCGAUAGUGAUCUGAGACAUUAGUCACCCCAUUCAUUGCCAAGGUUCAUUCAGCUGAUUGGGAUGGUCAGCCUACUAAUCCUCUUUUUCCUUUAGCACUUCACAUGUGUUCCUCCUAAAGGUGCAGGCUCCUUGGAAGAGAGUGACCUUUCCCUAUACAGGAAAACAAUUCUUCAGUCAAAAAUACAGGAGUUUCAGUGUUGUCUCAUUAGAACCUCCAGAUAAUCUCUUAAAAGAGACAAGAAACCAAAAGCAAGCAUAAGAGAAGUGAGUGGAUGGAAAGAGGAAGAAAAGGAAAGUUGAAAGAGAAACCAGCAAUGUUAUUUUU
rnacentral:snRNA from 1 species